rnacentral:rRNA from 1 species
UACGAAGGGGGGCUAGCGUUGUUCGGAAUUACUGGGCGUAAAGCGCGCGCAGGCGGUCUUCCAAGUCAGUGGUGAAAGCCCGGAGCUCAACUCCGGAACUGCCAUUGAAACUGUUAGACUUGAGGACGAGAGAGGUGAGUGGAAUUCCCAGUGUAGAGGUGAAAUUCGUAGAGAUCGGGAGGAACAUCAGUGGCGAAGGCGGCCAUCUGGAUCAACACUGACGCUGAGGCACGAAAGCGUGGGGAGCAAACAGG